GGGCCCGGAAAACCAUGCAGUCGAGCGGAAUCUUUGGGGAUUUACUGGCGGACGGGUGAGUACGCGUGAUAAUCUACUUUCACGUCUGGGACAACCAUUGAAAACGGUGGCUAAUACCGGAUGUGCCGGGAGGUGAAAGAUUAAUUGCCUGAAAAUGACCUCGCGUCUGAUUAGCUAGUUGGUGUGGUAAGAUAGCACCGUUGCGACGAUCAUUAGCUGGUCUGAGAGGAUGACCAGCCACGCUGGGACUGAGACACGGCCCAAACUCCUACGGGAGGUCAGGCAGUGGGGAAUUUUCCGGCCAACUGGCCGAAAGCCUGAACGGAAGCAAUUACCGGCGUGAGGGACGAAGGCUCUUGGGUCGUAAAACAUCCUUUUCUCCAAGGAAUUAAGGAAUAGGUGAAGGUACUUGACGGAAUAAGCAUCGGGCUAACUCCGUGCCAGCAGCCCGCAGUAAUACGGAGGAUGCAAUGCGUUAUCCCGGAAUGAUUGGGCGUAAAGGGUCCGCAGGUGGCAUUGUGUGUCUGCUAUUAAAGAGUUUGGCCUUAACCAGAUAAAAGCAGUGGAAACUACAAAGCUAGAGUGCGUUCGGGGCACAAGGAAUUCCUGGUGUAGCGGUGAAAUGCGUAGAGAUCAAGAAGAACACCGGUGGCGAAAGCGUUCUGCUAGGCCUGCACUGACACUGAGGGACGAAAGCUAGGGGAGCGAAUGGGAUUAGAUACCCCAGUAGUCCUAGCCGUAAACGAUGGAUACUAGGCGUGGCUUGUAUCGACCCCGAGCCCGUGCCGGAGCUAACGCGUUAAAUAUCCCGCCCUGGGGAGUACGCACGCAAGUGUGAAACUCAAAGGAAUUGACGGGGGCCCGCACAACCGGUGGAGUAUGUGGUUUUAAUUAGAUGCAAGCGCCAAGAACCUUUACCAAGACUAGACAUGUCGUGAAUUUCUCUGAAAGGAGAAAGUGCCUUAGGGAGCACGAACCCAGGUGGUGCAUGGCGGUUGUCAGUUGGUGUCUUGAGAUGUUGGGUUAAGUCCCGCAACGAGCGCAACCCUCGUUUUUAGUUGCCAGCAUUAAGUUGGGCACUCUAGAGAGACAGCCGGGGACAAACCGGAGGAAGGGGGGGGGGAAGUCAAGUCAGCAUGCGCCCUAUGUUGUGGGGUACACACCUAUUACAAUGGUGCGGACAAAGGGCAGCUACACAGGGAUGUGAUGCAAAUCCAAGAAAAAGUAGCUCAGUUUAGAUAGCAGGGUGCAAAUCGCGUGCGUGAAGGAGGAAUCGGUAGUAAAUGCAGGUCAGCAUAUUGCAGGGAAUUCGUUCCCGGGCGUUGUACACACCCCCCCUCUCACCACGGAAGAGGGCAACGCCCGAAGUCAUUACUCCAACCAUUAGGGGGGAGGAGCGCAACGCUAGUCUUC
rnacentral:rRNA from 1 species